rfam:Peptoniphilus coxii strain DNF00729 genomic scaffold Scaffold49, whole genome shotgun sequence.
GGUCAAGUUAGAAAGAGCAUCCGGUGGAUGCCUUGGCACCAAGAGCCGAUGAAGGACGUGAUAAGCUGCGAAAAGCUAUGGGGAGUGGCAAAUACACUUUGAUCCAUAGAUAUCCGAAUGGGGAAACCCGCUAAGAUAGCCUCUUAGCAUUCUAAGGUGAAUUCAUAGCCUUAGAAAGGAAUACCGGGGGAACUGAAACAUCUAAGUACCCCGAGGAAAAGAAAGAAACCUCGAUACCCUAAGUAGCGGCGAGCGAACGGGGUAGAGCCCAACUUGAGAUACGGCAUGUAUAGCGAGCAGAACGACAUGGAAAGGUCGACCAUAGCGGGUAACAGUCCCGUAUGCGAAGUGACAACAUGCUACUCUAAACGAGUACCACAGGGCACGUGAAACCCGGUGGGAAUACAGGGGGACCACCCCCUAAGGCUAAAUACUCCUUGGUGACCGAUAGCGCAUAGUACCGUGAGGGAAAGGUGAAAAGAACCCCGGGAGGGGAGUGAAAUAGAAUCUGAAACCGGAUGUUUACAAGCAGCGAAAGUAGUUUAUACUACGAUCGUGUACUUUUUGUAGAACGGGCCAGCGAGUUAUGAUUUUUAGCGAGGUUAAGGCGUCGAGCGCCGGAGCCGCAGCGAAAGCGAGUCUGAACAGGGCGAAGAGUUAGAGGUCAUAGACCCGAAACCGCGUGAUCUAUCCAUGGGCAGAGUGAAGUUGCCGUAAAAGGCAAUGGAGGCUCGAACCGGGUAACGUUUAAAAGUUAUCGGAUGACCUGUGGAUAGGGGUGAAAAGCCAAACGAACGCGGAGAUAGCUGGUUCUCCUCGAAAUAGCUUUAGGGCUAGCCUGGAUGGAAAUGUCUCGGGGGUAGAGCACUGAAUGGUCAAGGGACUUUACCAAGUUACCGCGACCUAUCAAACUCCGAAUACCGAAGACAUGAUCCACCGGAGUCAGACUAUGUGGGAUGAGCUUCAUAGUCGAAAGGGAAACAGCCCAGACCACCAGCUAAGGUCCCAAAAUUCGUGUUAAGUGGGAAAGGAUGUGGAGUUACUGAGACAACUAGGAUGUUGGCUUAGAAGCAGCCAUACAUUGAAAGAGUGCGUAAUAGCUCACUAGUCAAGUGACUCUGCGCCGAAGAUAACCGGGGCUAAACACGAUACCGAAGCUGUGGAAUCCGAAUGGAUUGGUAGAGGAGCAUUGUGUAGGCGAUGAAGCAAAAGCUGUAAGGCAUUGUGGAGCGUACAGAAGAGAGAAUGCUGGCAUGAGUAGCGAGAGGUGAGUGAGAAUCUCACCCGUCGAAAACCCAAGGUUUCCUGAGGAAGGCUCGUCCACUCAGGGUAAGUCGGGACCUAAGGCGAGGCCGAAAGGCGUAGUCGAUGGACAACAGGUGGAAAUUCCUGUACCGGCAACCGCAACGAAGAUGUGGGGACGCAGGAGGAUAGGCGUAGCGCCCAGUUGGUGAGGCGUGCAAGCACAAAGGAUGAGAAGUAGGCAAAUCCGCUUCUCUUAAGUCUGAAGUGUGAUGCGUAUCGAAAACAAGUAGAGAAGGAGCUGACUCCAUACUGCCAAGAAAAGCCACUAUUCGCGAAUUGUCGCCCGUACCGCAAACCGACACAGGUAGGUGAGGAGAGAAUCCUAAGACGAGCGGAAAAACCUUUGUUAAGGAACUCGGCAAAAUGACCCCGUAACUUCGGGAGAAGGGGAGCCCCCUAAGGGGGGCCGCAGUGAAAAGGCCCAAGCGACUGUUUACCAAAAACACAAGUCUCUGCGAAGUCGAAAGACGAAGUAUAGGGGCUGACACCUGCCCGGUGCUGGAAGGUUAAUGGAAAAAGUUAGCGCAAGCGAAGCUUAGAACUGAAGCCCCAGUAAACGGCGGCCGUAACUAUAACGGUCCUAAGGUAGCGAAAUUCCUUGUCGGGUAAGUUCCGACCCGCACGAAAGGUGUAACGAUUUGGGCACUGUCUCAACAAAGGAUCCGGUGAAAUUGUAGUAGCGGUAAAGAUGCCGCUUACCCACGACAGGACGGAAAGACCCCAUGGAGCUUUACUGCAGGCUGAUAUUGGAUUUUGGAAUGGACUGUACAGGAUAGGUGGGAGACUAAGAACGAAGCGCGCCAGUGUUUCGGGAGUCGCCCUUGGGAUACCACUCUAUUCAUUCUGAAAUUCUAACCUACUUCCGUGAAUCCGGAAGAGGGACACUGUCAGUUGGGCAGUUUGACUGGGGCGGUCGCCUCCCAAACAGUAACGGAGGCGUUCAAAGGUUUCCUCAGCACGGUCGGAAAUCGUGCGAAGAGUGCAAAGGCAAAAGGAAGCUUAACUGCGAGAGCGACAACUCGAGCAGAUGCGAAAGCAGGACUUAGUGAUCCGGUGGUACCGAGUGGAAGGGCCAUCGCUCAACGGAUAAAAGCUACCCUGGGGAUAACAGGCUUAUCUCCCCCAAGAGUCCACAUCGACGGGGAGGUUUGGCACCUCGAUGUCGGCUCGUCUCAUCCUGGGGCUGAAGCAUGUCCCAAGGGUUGGGCUGUUCGCCCAUUAAAGAGGCACGCGAGCUGGGUUCAGAACGUCGUGAGACAGUUCGGUCCCUAUCCGUCGUGGGCGUAGGAAAUUUGAGAGGGUCUGUCCUUAGUACGAGAGGACCGGGAUGGACAAACCGCUGGUGUAUCAGUUGUCAUGCCAAUGGCACGGCUGAGUAGCUAAGUUUGGACGGGAUAAGCGCUGAAAGCAUCUAAGCACGAAGCCCCCCUCGAGAUGAGAUUUCCCUCAUAUGAUAAGACCCCUUGUAGCCCACAAGGUUGAUAGGUCUCAGGUGGAAGUGUAGCAAUACAUGCAGCUAAGAGAUACUAAUCGGUCGAAGACUUGACCAA